rnacentral:rRNA from 1 species
AACGCUAGCUACAGGCUUAACACAUGCAAGUCGAGGGGCAUCAGGAAGAAAGCUUGCUUUCUUUGCUGGCGACCGGCGCACGGGUGAGUAACACGUAUCCAACCUGCCCUUUACUCGGGGAUAGCCUUUCGAAAGAAAGAUUAAUACCCGAUGGCAUAAUGAUUCCGCAUGGUUUCAUUAUUAAAGGAUUCCGGUAAAGGAUGGGGAUGCGUUCCAUUAGGUUGUUGGUGAGGUAACGGCUCACCAAGCCUUCGAUGGAUAGGGGUUCUGAGAGGAAGGUCCCCCACAUUGGAACUGAGACACGGUCCAAACUCCUACGGGAGGCAGCAGUGAGGAAUAUUGGUCAAUGGGCGCUAGCCUGAACCAGCCAAGUAGCGUGAAGGAUGAAGGCUCUAUGGGUCGUAAACUUCUUUUAUAUAAGAAUAAAGUGCAGUAUGUAUACUGUUUUGUAUGUAUUAUAUGAAUAAGGAUCGGCUAACUCCGUGCCAGCAGCCGCGGUAAUACGGAGGAUCCGAGCGUUAUCCGGAUUUAUUGGGUUUAAAGGGAGCGUAGGUGGACUGGUAAGUCAGUUGUGAAAGUUUGCGGCUCAACCGUAAAAUUGCAGUUGAUACUGUCAGUCUUGAGUACAGUAGAGGUGGGCGGAAUUCGUGGUGUAGCGGUGAAAUGCUUAGAUAUCACGAAGAACUCCGAUUGCGAAGGCAGCUCACUGGACUGCAACUGACACUGAUGCUCGAAAGUGUGGGUAUCAAACAGGAUUAGAUACCCUGGUAGUCCACACAGUAAACGAUGAAUACUCGCUGUUUGCGAUAUACAGUAAGCGGCCAAGCGAAAGCAUUAAGUAUUCCACCUGGGGAGUACGCCGGCAACGGUGAAACUCAAAGGAAUUGACGGGGGCCCGCACAAGCGGAGGAACAUGUGGUUUAAUUCGAUGAUACGCGAGGAACCUUACCCGGGCUUAAAUUGCAGUGGAAUGAUGUGGAAACAUGUCAGUGAGCAAUCACCGCUGUGAAGGUGCUGCAUGGUUGUCGUCAGCUCGUGCCGUGAGGUGUCGGCUUAAGUGCCAUAACGAGCGCAACCCUUAUCUUUAGUUACUAACAGGUUAUGCUGAGGACUCUAGAGAGACUGCCGUCGUAAGAUGUGAGGAAGGUGGGGAUGACGUCAAAUCAGCACGGCCCUUACGUCCGGGGCUACACACGUGUUACAAUGGGGGGUACAGAAGGCAGCUAGCGGGUGACCGUAUGCUAAUCCCAAAAGCCUCUCUCAGUUCGGAUCGAAGUCUGCAACCCGACUUCGUGAAGCUGGAUUCGCUAGUAAUCGCGCAUCAGCCACGGCGCGGUGAAUACGUUCCCGGGCCUUGUACACACCGCCCGUCAAGCCAUGGGAGCCGGGGGUACCUGAAGUACGUAACCGCAAGGAUCGUCCUAGGGUAAAACUGGUGACUG